AUUUUUCUAGUAUAAAAGUACAUUUGACUUCCAAUCAAAAGGUUUGAUUAAUAAUCAAGAAAAAUA
rnacentral:tRNA from 1 species